CCCACCUCGUCCCUCAACGAGGGUAAGCAGAUUUAACAUUGUGCUCUUCAUAAAUUAAAAUUGGUAAUCAGGGGGUUUGGAGUGACGAUGUUCAUCCUUCAUAUGGAUAAAGGAAUAUUUGAUAUUUCACUAUUCAAGGCUGCCCAAGAACAUGAGUACAUGAGAUGACCCUUAGUGAGUAGGUGUCGGGUAGCGGAUUUUGUUUAGGGGUUGCUUUGUGUAUUGAAGUUGUGAUAUUUUUAUUUGGAUUUUAGUUAAGAGAAUUCGGGUAAGAACUCU
rnacentral:misc_RNA from 1 species